CACUGAAAGACAUCGGAACACAGACACUGGGAGACAUGGGGACACUAGGGGCACUGGCUGGUAGACAGACACUGGGAGACAUCGGGACACGUGUGGACAUAGACAUGGGGACACUGAGACAUUUGGGGACACUGGGAGACAUGGGUGUGGCGGAACCAGCCUCGUCACUGGGCAUUGGAGAAGACUGAUUGCCAACCUCCUGCCCUGUGACUAUGGCCCCAUGUUGAAAUGCUUGAUUUACCCCUGCAAAG